rnacentral:lncRNA from 1 species
GAGAACAAGGAAAGGAUGGAGAAGAGGCUCAGAGAGGAGGCUGCAGAGAAGGAGCACAAGGAAGAGGAGGAAAGGAGGCAUCUUGCUGCGAAGAGGGAGGAGAGGGAGAGGAAGCUUGAGCGUGUACGCCGAGCGAAAGCAGCGAUCGAGGAGAAUCCCGAUGCCCUGAGGAAGGGAAAGUGGCCUCGUUGUACUCAGUAGGCUCUGUUAUUGGCUAGUACUCCGUUGUGUGCGGUUGGACCUUUCAUUGUGUGUCCAUGAUUUAUUCAUGGAUAAUGUUGUGUACUGUUGGACCUUUCAUAUGUACUUCGUUAUUUGCAGCAUAAUUUUCAUUUGUACUGAUCGAUUAUUUUAAUUGUGUGCUUUUAAUUCUUAAUUGUGAAAUGUUUAGACUUGUAUAGUG